AGUGAACGCUGGCGGUAGGCCUAACACAUGCAAGUCGAACGGCAGCACAGUAAGAGCUUGCUCUUACGGGUGGCGAGUGGCGGACGGGUGAGGAGUACAUCGGAAUCUACUUUUUCGUGGGGGAUAACGUAGGGAAACUUACGCUAAUACCGCAUACGACCUACGGGUGAAAGCAGGGGAUCUUCGGACCUUGCGCGAUUGAAUGAGCCGAUGUCGGAUUAGCUAGUUGGCGGGGUAAAGGCCCACCAAGGCGACGAUCCGUAGCUGGUCUGAGAGGAUGAUCAGCCACACUGGAACUGAGACACGGUCCAGACGCCUACGGGAGGCAGCAGUGGGGAAUAUUGGACAAUGGGCGCAAGCCUGAUCCAGCCAUACCGCGUGGGUGAAGAAGGCCUUCGGGUUGUAAAGCCCUUUUGUUGGGAAAGAAAAGCAGCAGGUUAAUACCCCGCUGUUCUGACGGUACCCAAAGAAUAAGCACCGGCUAACUUCGU
rnacentral:rRNA from 1 species